UCUGCCUACCUCUGUCUUUCACAUGUAGACGUAAUUCUUCUCUGACCGGCAUAUGUGAGUGGGUGAUGGAGACAAGAGGCAGACUGUAGAGACAGCUGUAACUUAUACCCUACUUAUCUUUCCUCUGCUCUCUUCUAGGUAGGUCCAGCAUGAAGCUCCAACACACGUCUGAGCCCUGCAGAUAGAUGUUCUUCAGCAUGUGCACAGGAGUUUAUCCAGUUUUAAUUUGGACCAGCUGAUGCCAGCAAAUGGAGUUUCACUGCAAGGUUCAUAAAGCUACAUCAUUCCCACUGGUCACUGAGGUCCUAACCAGUGCACUGAUGUGUGCAUGAAGACCUGCACUUACCUGCUGAGUCUGGUAACUGGAAGUGCAAAGAGGCAAUUAGGAUCAUAUUUAGCCCAUUAGUGCCAGUAGCUCUCCAUUGAUGCUGGACGAGCAGCUGUGAAAAGUGGGCAUCUGAGUGAAGUCGUGGCAUGGAGAGACCUCUGCCAUUUUGGUAAACAGCAUGCAAGUCCAAUGUAGUAAGUAAAUUAUGUUACUGGCUUUUUAGCUCCAGUUUAGUGGUAGAGCAUUGGUGUCAUGGCAUGGGAGCAGCCAAACUUGGGCUGCGCGCAAUGGAGAAAAUGCACAAGGAACAAACAGAGCUCUCAGAGUUUGUAGUACUAUUCACUUUCAAAACCAUCUACUACUCAGUGUGAAAAAUUAAAUGCUUUUUGAAUUGUACUUGAUCUUGUAGCGAGCCUUUUUCCCUUUAAUUAUGGUAGGUUGGGUAUGUGUUGCUCCACCAUUUAAGUUUAGUCUUUUGUCAUCAAUUUCUAUUAAAACAACCUUUUUAAGGUAAAAUUAUAUAUUCCUUUGGGGUUCUGCUUAAAUGUU